CCCGGUGGCUCGGAGGGCAAAGCAACUGCCUGCAAUGCAGGAGACCCGGGUUCAAUUCCUGGGUCGGGA
rnacentral:tRNA from 1 species